rnacentral:rRNA from 1 species
GACGAACGCUGGCGGCGUGCUUAACACAUGCAAGUCGAACGGUAAGGCCCUUCGGGGUACACGAGUGGCGAACGGGUGAGUAACACGUGGGUGAUCUGCCCUGCACUUCGGGAUAAGCCUGGGAAACUGGGUCUAAUACCGGAUAGGACCCUGGGAUGCAUGUCCUGGGGUGGAAAGCUUUUGCGGUGUGGGAUGGGCCCGCGGCCUAUCAGCUUGUUGAUGGGGUGAUGGCCUACCAAGGCGACGACGGGUAGCCGGCCUGAGAGGGUGACCGGCCAGACUGGGACUGAGAUACGGACCAGACUCCUACGGGGGGCAGCAGUGGGGAAUAUUGCACAAUGGGCGCAAGCCUGAUGCAGCGACGCCGCGUGAGGGAUGACGGCCUUCGGGUUGUAAACCUCUUUCAGCACCGACGAAGCGCAAGUGACGGUAGGUGCAGAAGAAGGACCGGCCAACUACGUGCCAGCCGCCGCCGUAA